rnacentral:tRNA from 1 species
GAGGGUAUAGCUCAAUGAUAGAGUGCAUGCUUAGCAUGCAUGAGGGCCUGGGUUCAAUCCCCAGUACUGCCA